UGGGGAAUUUUGGACAAUGGGGGCAACCCUGAUCCAGCCAUGCCGCGUGAGUGAAGAAGGCCUUCGGGUUGUAAAGCUCUUUCGGUGGGAACGAAACGGUUACGGUCAAUACCCGUGACUCCUGACGGUACCUACAGAAGAAGCACCGGCUAACUACGUGCCAGCAGCCGCGGUAAUACGUAGGGUGCGAGCGUUAAUCGGAAUUACUGGGCGUAAAGCGUGCGCAGGCGGCGCGUUAAGACAGGUGUGAAAGCCCCGAGCUUAACUUGGGAAUUGCGCUUGUGACUGGCGAGCUGGAGUGUGGCAGAGGGAGGUGGAAUUCCACGUGUAGCAGUGAAAUGCGUAGAGAUGUGGAGGAACACCGAUGGCGAAGGCAGCCUCCUGGGCCAGCACUGACGCUCAUGCACGAAAGCGUGGGGAGCAAACAG
rnacentral:rRNA from 1 species